AUGAUCUCCUCUCCAUCUGUUGAUGACCUCCUGACCCCAAAGAGUGAUGUGACGUCCGAGGCUAAGAGCGAUGAUGCCUCCUGUCCAAUUUCACCUGAGGCGUUCUCUCUAACGAACUUCCUGAAGUCUCACCCUCAGAGAAAGCUUAUCAGGAAGUUCCUCAAACAAAUGAACGUGACAAUAGGCGACCUGGACGAAAUCAUCGAGUGGGUGGUGUGUGUCUCCAGUGAGGUGUUCCUCCCAGUGAUGGCUCUGCACAGGACCUCCAGACCAGAGUCGUCAGACUCGUCCCACUGGGGGUCAGGUGUGCUCCAGAUCGUCUCUGAAAAGUUCCACCAGCGGAGUUCUGAGCCAAAGGGAAGGCUCCUGGGCGGACAGCCGCCCACUCCCCCUUCUGAGACCGACAAGGAGCUUCAGGGCAUAGCAGAUCUGUCUGUGAGUAACAUCCUGAAAAGGGCCCAGGAGGACCUCUUCUCUUCUGGUGAGGAUGACCUGGAGAACACCCAUCCAGGUAUUACUCUGACAGAAGAGAAGCUCUCCAGCAUCUUCUCAGAGCUGUUCAGGGAUGCCUGUGAGAGUGCCCAGGAGGCCGCCAGACGGAUCCACCACAUGAGGUCUGGAAGAGGCAACAACAGCCAGAAUGGGAGUUGGCCUGGGUCGUCACAGGGAUCGAGCAAAUCCAACAUGCCAGAGUUGGGAGAACUGGGGUCAGUGAGGAGUCCCAAGGGAAGUGACGUCCAUAAAGUUCUUAGCGAGGGGUCCCUCCCUGUCUUUGCCCUGUUUGAGGAGAGGCCAGGGGAAGUUGGGGAGACCAGCAGCCCUGCUGGGGAGAUGGACGAGACACAGACUGCCAGCACUCCCAGCAUUCCCCGGUCUGGGCAUGGCGGCAGAAGGAGUAGCCAGACCACCACUCCCACCCCCGGCCACAGAGAGGCAGGAUUCACAGCCAGUAACAUCUUUGAUGUUAUUAUUCAUCUGGCGCACUCUGACACUGACCGGGAACUCCACCAGGAGUUCAGCAGUGAGGAUGAUGUUUCACUGAAUGACAUCAUGGACAUGAAGUCAACCCUGGCCCUGGGUCAGAUCCUGUCCUCAUGGAAGCUGGUCAACAUGAUCUUCAGGGGGAAGGUCCACUACUUUGGGAAGGAGCUCAUCUGCAAGGUGUAUCAGAUGCUUCUGGACACCGGUAUGGGCAGGAGGCCAAUGGCCCGCCAGAGCAGGUCCGAGCCCAUCCUGAAAGACCUGGCUGCCAACCGUAGGCUCUCCAAUGAAUUCUUCACAGACGUGCUGUACAUGUUCAUCCAACGGGCCAUUAAGAAUCUGCUGGAGAACUUUUUGGGUCUGCCGACCACCCCACCAGGCAGAGACAUAAUGUGGAAUGACAACUUUAACUGGAUGUAUAGGGACGGCUGGGGGAACACCCCCACAUCCAGCGAGGAGGAAUUGUGGGACAGCGACUCCACCUGGUCAAGUGGGCAUGGGGAGGAGGAAGGGACAGAGUCCCGUGGGAGGUGGGCCGCUCUGUUGGAGAAGGGCAGCUUCCUGACCCUCCAGUCCUCCAGCUCCCUCUCCCUCUCCGAUGACAACAAGGAGGCACUAGGUUAGUUAUUAUGUUGUUUUUACCAUCUUUUGCACCCGCACAUUCCCCUUCUUUCUUUUCUCUUGUUGUCAGUAAUGGUAUUUUCCUUUUCUCUCCCCUUUUUUUCUUAUUUUUCUAUACAGUGUUUGGAGACAUUUUAUGUGUGAAGUAUUACUUUGAAUCAAAUGUCAAACUCAUUCUAUAGAAGGCCGGGUUUCUGCAGGUUUUCACUCCACCCUUGAUUGAUGAAUUAAGGUCACUAAUUAGUUAGAAACUCCUCUCACCUGGUUGUCUAGGUCUUAAUUGAAAGGAAAAAACUAAAACCCUCAGACACUCGGCCCCCCCAUGGAAUGAGUUUGACACCCCUGUAUUAAAUAAAUGUUGAUUUGACCAGGGGCCGUCUGCCAAGUCCUGACCACCAGGGUGGGAGACAUCCUGAACAGUACCUGCAACGACGAUUGCAAGGCCAGGCUCAUCAUCCAGAAAGGUACACUUAUAACCUGUUUUACCCAUAUGACCAGUAAUAACAGUGUAAUAACCUGUGUAAUAACCUGUGUAUUACCAUUAUAGUAAAUGUGCUAGAUACUGCAUAGUGUUAUACAUGAAUGUGGCUUUGAACCAUUUCAGAAUAUGAGUGUAUUUUCUUAGGAUUGGAUUCCGGUGCCAGGGAAAGGUUCCCUGACUUUCCGUGUCCCUCUUCACCCAAGGACGAAGAGGAGGUGGUUGUGAGUGCCAUGACUGUCUCAUACCCUAAACCCUCCACCUCAACCCAGGCAGCAUGGGCAGCUCCUGCCCAGACUCUGGACGUUUUUCUGCCCAGACCCUGCCUGGAUGAAGAAGAGGUAGUGCACAGCACCUCCUUGAAGGACAACUCUGUGACGACCACCCAUGCAGCACUGGCAGCUCCUUCCCAGACCCUGGUAGAAGAGGUGGGAGAAGCUGAGGUGUCCAACGUGAGUGAGUGCUCCCUGAUGCCCACCAAGGCCCUUGAGAAGAUUCCCUCCCUCCUACCAGGCAAGAUCCUUAUCGAGGAGGACACCCUCAGUUGCAGCACUCCCUGGGCCACCGUCAUGAGCCCCCAGACCCUGAGGUUUAUCCUCCACGGCAUCAUGUGCCGACUGGAGGCCUCAGAGUCCCCCCAGACAAGGAGGGCCAAUGACCCCUUCAGGCUGAUGAAGGAUCUCUUUCUGGAGGUCCAGCAUGCCCUGAAGUAUGCUGACAUCUCUGUCCUCUUUGGCCUGGAGGAGAGCAUCCAAUUCAUUGGGGAGGAUGCGGUGAAGGCCAUCGUGAAGACUGCAGCUAAAAGAUUGUCCCUGCGUUCAGACUCCAACCGGGCUCAACUGCGUGCAGCGCGCUCUGGUGGUGAGGCAGCCAUCAGGUGCAUGGCGGACACCAUCACACAAGUCAUAGAUGACUAUUCCGAGGACUGGAGUUCCGGCGGCCAUUUUGGAGCCAGGAGGAGCCGUGCUAGUGGGAGGUCACACUCCUCAACCUCCUCAAGGAGUGACGUCACCCUCACUGAGGAGCUCCUGGCCCGGAGGGAAUCCCUUGAAGAGGACCUAGCGGAGAUGGCUGAUGACAGCACUGGUUUGGAGAAGACCAUUGUAAGCUCAGCCAUCUCUGCCAAGUCCCAGGUAAUUAGCUACAUUUCUGAGAGCUCCGAGCCCAACAGCUGUGCCCUCUUCACAGACCUCGAGGACAUCACCUCCACACAUGUGAGACAGACAAGAACUAGUAGAUCGUUUAGUUAUUUGGGCUGUUUGAUUGUGAGGCAUUAACUCAAAUCUGUUUCUCUCUCUACGAAGGAUAAGGAAGAGGCUAUGAACGAAGAAGUGAGGAAGUCAGGAAAGAAGAGGCGAAGAAAUAACAAGGACCAGAAGAAGAACAAGGUGUCUCCUCUUGGCAAUGAUAGUAAGUCCUCAUUUCUGUCAGUCAACAUGUGCGUCUGUCUUCAGCACACUAUUGUAAUGUAAGGACGGGAGACUAUGAUGAAUUAUCAGGGUCUUAUUCAUUAGCCACUAAAUGGAAGAGAACAGACUAAAACAGGGAGGAACUAACCCUAACCCUAACCCUAAUAACAAAUUAUUGUUUUUGUUUUCUGUUUCAAAACAUUUUGCUACUGUGUGCCUGAAUGAACACGACCCUGAUUUCAUGCCCUGUUCUAUGUCACCUGUUCAGGUACUGUGGCUGCAGAUGAGCCGAAGAAAAAACAGGCUCUCCUCCCGCGGAUCACAGCUGCCCUGGCAAGACUAUUUUGCUUCCCCUGCAAAAAAAGAUGCAAAAAGUAACUGUGCAGAGACGAGUUUGGGAAACCCUGAUACCACCUCCCCCAACCCACUUUCUAAAAAAACAUCAGUGCCACCAGAAGAGGGAGACAACCCCCCCUAUUCACAACUCAUUUUAUUACCCCCCCCCAUUUAAUUUAAUAAACACAACUUUCAGCUAUUUUGAUCUUCUUUACUUUUUUUUUUACAGACCCACCUGCAUGCUAUAGAUUCGUAAGGUCAAUUUGCUGUGUACUGUCUACAGUAUCAUUGUUAUGAGUAGGUUCACUGUGUCAGUCAUUAUUUUUACCUUUAUUUAACUAGGCAAGUUAGUUUAGAACAAAUUCUUAUUUUCAAUGACGACCUAGGAACAUUGGGCCUUGUUCAGGGGCACAACGACAGAUAUUUUAGGCUACCUGUCGCUAUAUAGGUAUAGGCUAAAUGCCCUAACCUAAUUGCAAUUUACAUAAUAAGAGUUACAUUAGAAUAAUUCCCUAAUUUUAUCUUUCUUGAGAGGGAAUACAUCUCUAAUACACUAUACUCAAUACCAUACAGUAAGCACAGAGAGGACAGGGGAGAUAGGGUGGACAGCUCCCUGUCUAGUAGUUGUAGCCUGUAGCUAGUUAUACGUCUUCUUGAGGAAGCGCCGACAGACGGACAGCUGUGCGAGUUCGCAUUUUCCAAUAAAACAGCAGCACGAGCGAUGGCUUCGGCGUAGCAUGUCGUACAGUAUUUUUCACACGGCGGUGAAGUCGACAUUGUGAAAGUUUUGUUCUGUGCUAGUUUCGUGGUGUCCGUGUGUUGGCAUGACAUAGCAGCUACGAGCAAGAGCCGCUUCGAUUAUGGGAACAUUCAGGUAGGCAUUACUGUUUUAUUUAUAAAUGUAUUAUUUACUGUUGUUCUUGUUAUAAUUGCAUGUGUCACAUAAAUAUUUGUUAUGCAUGUAGAUGGAUCGAGCGAAGUUUACGUUUAUGCUCCAAAACAAAGCACCUAGACCCUGUGUAUUUUUACAUUGAGGAAGCCUUAAUCUUCAUCAGAGGUUACUCACUGUGAUAGCCUUAUUCAGCAAUAAUGUAAACAUUUCUGAUUUCUGUAAAUUAUAGCUACGUAUGACUAGGUUUCCUC
rnacentral:lncRNA from 13 species